AUCGCUUCUUGGCCUUUUGGCUAAGAUCAAGUGUAGAAACAGAAAAAAAAAAAUGGGUUUUAUCCAACUUAGCUUUUAAAAAAAUACCUGUGUGUGGUUUCAGCUGGAAUGGGAAUUCGGAUAUUUUUCUGCGAAUCUACAGUUCCUGUUC
rnacentral:snRNA from 1 species